UCCCUCUGGAGCGGAGAAAAGAAAAAAGAAGUUGGAAGACGAGAAAAAACAACAAGACAAAGAGUGACCUGGCUUCGCUUGGCAAACAGUGAGGUCACACUCCGAGCUGGGCAGAGAUCAGACUUUGGACUUGGAGAGGCAGAGAGAAAGUAUGCACAAUGUUCUGUGCCAAAGUGUUGCCUCAUACCUGACAGUGUGUGAAUGUCAGUGUUGCGUUACAUCAGGGACAUGAGCUUUUGGUGAGAAGAUACAGAGGACAGGGUGAGAUGGAAACGAUUGAUCUGCUGUGGCGACCCCUAACGGGAACAGCCAAAAGACAAAGAAGAAGAUUGUGCAUAACAAUAACAAUAUCCGUGUCUGAUAUGGCAUUGAUGUGUUUUGCAUAAUGUCAAGAUAAGAGCAUUCUCAAAACUAGACAGUCAAACUGAUUUCUAAGAUAAGUAUUGAUGUCAACCUUCUAGCAGAUAUACUUUGGUAGGAAGGUCACUUUUUGUACAAAAUGUACUGUUGAUGCUUCUUUCCUUUGGAUAACCUUCAGUGAAAGCUGGUUGAUGUGGUGGGAACUCUUCUGCUUAGUUUCUCACUUACAAAAAUACUAUGUGCAUGUUGGAUUUUAAUGCAGUUCAUCAUGUGUUGAACUUUACAAUAUAAAACUUAUAUUGAAUUUCACACACACACACACACACAUACAUCUUCAACCGCUUAGUCCAGUUGAGGGUUGCGGGGGGCUGGAGCCUAUCCCAGAAGUCAUAGAGCAUGAGGCGGGGUACACCCAGGACAGGACGCCAGUCUGUUUUGAAUAUCAUAUAUUUCCAAAAUGGAAAUAAAGGUUUUAUGUUCAUUUUAUAGUUUUGUCCGGUGCCACGCAUCACUGCCUUUGCCACACUAGACAACCAUGUUUAAUCCAGAAUGGAAACCAUCCAGACAGGCAUCCCGUCCCUUCCCAUCACUUGAAAGUGCCACAGCCAUAUGAAAUGUCAGAAUCCCCUUGGCCUUCUCCAGCCUCUGGGGUCUUCAGUACUAUUAUAUUUUACUUCAAUUUUACAAUACUAUUAUAGAAUUAUUUUCAUUGUACCAGGUUUAUGCAAGAUUUUCAGACACUUUUCCCCCUUCCAGUCUAUAUGACCGGAGUUAUUGUCACGCCGUCAAAUCCCGAUGCUUUCUUACAGUAGAUCCUGUGAACUUACAUAAGUACAGCAAAGGUAACACAUCACAUAGGUUCUCUGUGUGUGACACUAAUAUGAAGGGACACUUUAUACAUUACUGAUUUCAAGGUUGAGAUAUUCAGGAACUCCUCUUGAUUUUAAUGUUACCACGCUAAAUUGCAGUCUGUCCAUUCAGGACCCAUUUGGAUCUUGUUCUGUUUCUACAGGCCUUUCUUAAUGUAAUUGACUUGAGAGACAGAGUGCACAUCCUGUUAUCAGUGAUCAUCAGUGUGCAGUUUGCAGAAAGAGCAUAAAUGGGUGCAGGUUAAUGGUAAAUGGACUGCAUUUAUAUUGCGCUUUUACAUCUGCAUCAGACAUUCAAAGCGCUUUAAUGUUCAUGUUAAUGUUUAGUUAAUGUUCAUGGAACAUGGAACACAGUCUAUCUCCAUGUCAUUUUUCAACAAUGGGACAUUACAGGGGCUUCUUGCCCAUAGUUUGCUUCACAUAGACAUCUUCUAAUUGUUACAAUACUUAUUGUUACAUGAUAACCACCUUUUUUGAGGUAAGACACGGAAGUUUUGUCAACUAAAAUAAGAUUAGCCUCCUCUGUACCAGGCUAAUAACUUUAGUUGGGUAACGUGAAACUUUUACCAACUAAGCUAAAAGCUUUGUGCAACAACUAACGCCAAAAAAUUAGUUGACUGAGUUUAGUCCACAAAACAAGAUUAGACAGCUUUAUGAAGCCGGGCCCUGGCUUACAGUCUUUCCCUGCAGGUAGCAGAUUUUUCCCUGUGGUCACCGGAAUAUUUACCCAGAGUCAGUUCAAAACAAUCAUUUUGCCCCAGAAAUAAAAAGAACAUUUCAAAGAAUUCAAAGAUCCUAAUUUUGCCAUUACAUUCAUGUCCAUGAUGACCAAACCUCUGACCAUAACUGUAUAUGAAUGGACUGUGUGUGUAAUUUGCUGUAAAAGUGUAAUCUUAAGGUGCUGGAAAGAUAUUGCAAUAUUACAUACGCACACUAGGUGCAAAGCACAUAAAGUUAAUAUUAUUUUCAGCUUUCAAAUGCAUAUUUGCAAUUAAAUUCAUGAGUUUAAAAUAUGAGUUCCUUGGUCUCUACUAGGAAAGAUGAUUUCCUAUCAGACUUUUAUUACUGACAACUGCAACCAGGCAGAAAUGGCUGAAAACACAUCUUAUUCUCAAGGGAACAUGGAAGAUGUGCCUUCAGGAGGAUGCUUCUUAUUUUUUUCCUUUUCUUGCCACGUAUCUUUUCUGUUCUUUGGUACACAGGCAACAGUGUUUUGUGAUCGUAGGCAUUUGAGUGAAGAUGUGUGUAGGUGUGAGGUUUGAUGUGAUGUUGCUGCACGGAGAGCGUAACACAGCAGGUAU